rnacentral:lncRNA from 1 species
GAGAAGCACGUCGUCCUAGGAUCCAAUCACCUUUAACUCAGGAAACCUAAAACAUGGAUUUUAAAAACAUGAGUACAAACUUAGUGAGUGAACAUAGGAAAGGAACAAGCAAUUGCAAGGAAUGAUUUAGAAAUCAUGAUGCACUUAAGUUCGAAAACAAUGCAACCUAGUUCAAGCUCUUAUUAAAAUCCUUCCAUCAACCCCAGGUUAUUAAAUCAUUUCAUAAUGAAGGAACCAUAUUUAGCAGGAAAUUGGAAAGAGAGGAAAUUUCCAGCAAUCAUCCAAGCAAGACAGUAUAAAUAGAAUGUUCUUGUUGCAAUAAAAUCAAUUCACAUGUAAAUGGGAAAUUUUCAAGAUUUAUCAUGCCAUAUAAUCACAUAUUAUAAUCAUAAUCUUUCUAUUGCAUAUACAUAUGCUUAAGCAUAUAUCAAUUAAUAUACCACCACACCUUAUCCAGCUCAUGUACAUCAUCACUGGCAUGUGCACUGCCCACUCCGCAAAUGCAUGAUUAUAAUUAUCACGACAGCAUCAUUACAGGCAUGUGCACUGCCCACUCUGCACAUGCACGAUUGUAAUUAUCAUGACAUCAUCAUUACCGGCAUGUGCACUGCCCACUCCGCACAUGAACGGUUAUAAUUAUCACGAUAGCAUCAUUAUCGGCAUGUGCACUACCCAUUCCGCACAUGCACAGUUGUAAUUAUCAUGACAGCAUCAUUACCGGCAUGUGCACUACCCACUCCGCACAUGCACGGUUUCAUUUUUCACACAAUGGUACCAUUUAUGACAUAGUAUAUAUAUAUAUAUAUAUAUAUAUAUAUAUCAUUAUAUAGAAACAUAUGAAAUCAUCACACUAUCCAUUUCAUAACAUAAAAACAUUUCAUAAGGGCUUGUUCCUGUGCAAGUUUUUGAAGAAAAACCAAUAAAAUGUUUUAGAGGAUUCAAUCAAACAUAAACGUGUAUAUCCCAAGACAUUUUAAUGCAAGUUCACUCACCUGGCAACAAUGAGAUUUUAAGUCGCUAUUUGUUCGGAGGUGUCUCUAACUAUUUUCACUGGUCGGCCACUCGUUAUUUACUCCAGCAUGCCACCACAGUUCUCUGACUUUAUCUUUGAACUUUCUAGCAAUAAUACAAACUCAAUAUAUUUAAUUACAUAUGUAUACGGGAAGCACUUCAAUCAAUUAAUCCUUACUCAAAUUUAUAUUUUCAUCCUAUCAUGAAACCAUCUUCAAUUAACUCACAUCUUAAUACAUUUUUACCAAAAUUACUUACAUACAUUGCUUACAAAUUCCUUAGAUUAUAUCACCGGUAACUUAUUUAUGAUGUCACAUGCCUACUUCAACCUUUCUAAAUAAUUUCUGCCUAAAUCUAUCUUAUAUUUCCACACAUAAUCCACAUAUAUGGUAGCAACAAUUAUUCUCACUUUCACUCGAUUAUUUCCUAGUUUAUGUCACGACCCAAAUUUCGGGCCAUGAUCGAUGCAAGGGCCCAAUAGACGUAGUCCAUUAAGCCCGAGCAAGCCUAUCUAUCUAUUCCACUCAUCAUUCCAUCAAAUAUUGCUAAGUCACAAUUUAUAACUUUAAAUCAAAAAAUUGAUAGACAUUGCCAACUCAUAUUGGCAUUACUCAUUUAAAAUAUACAUACAUUUUCUACAGCAUGUAUCUCAAUAAUUUACAUCAAGUUUAUCUAUACAUCAAAAAAAGAAAACUCGAUUUCUAGCGAAGGGACUCGGACGAAUGUACUGCUACUGAAUGCCGAGACACCUACCCAAAAUAUGGAUACAAGUCUAUAAAGACACCUCGUCAUAGUUACCAAUUGCCUCGUGAUCUGAAAACAUGAAGUUGAAAAUGGUGAGUAUAAACUCAGUGAGUGAACAAGAAAGGGAACAAGCAUACCAUAAGUAAUCUUUAAUGAAAUCAUGAUGCAUUCUUUUUCAAAAUAAUGCCAUUUAUUUCUAUUCUUAUUAAAAACCCCUCAUCAAGCCCUUAAAUGAUUAAUCAUUUGAAAAUCAUGAACCCAUACAUUACGAACCAUUUGAAGAAUGAAAGCUUUAAUUAUACACAAGCAUGUCAAAUACGACAAUGAAUCUUCGCUGCAGCAAGAAUGAAUUUUCGUUGCAAUGACGUUGGGAUUUAGUUAUUAGCCAAACGAGGGUUUCUCAACUGGCCAAGGAUUUCUCACUAAACCUCCUCCUUUUAAACUUAACUCAUUUAAUCCUUAAUGUAGGAAGACCAUGCUCUGAUAUGGUAGUAAAGAAGUGAAAGAUAGGGCAGCAAUUAGACAAGAUAAGAGACUAAAAUAGAAGGUUUUUCGCUGUAGCAAGAUUCUUUCUCGCUGCAGUGAAAUUGUAACCCAGAAACAGAAGGUUUCUCAUUUGAGCGAGAUUCUUUCUUGCUGUAGUGAAAUUUCGUUGAUGAAAUAGAGAGUUUUUCGCUGCAGCGAGAUUCCUUUUCGCUACAGCGAGAAGCUACUGUGACUAUCUCGCUGCAGCGAAAUACAUUAUCGCUGCAGCGAGAACCAGUUCUGGUAAAGGUUCUCAAACCCGAGAGUUUCUCGUUGCAGUGAGAAUGAAGUUCGCUGCAGCGAAAAUAGAGCAACAAGACAAAAGUUUCCCCUUACUCAACAAAAAGGCCAUCCUGCUAAACCAACAAAAUCAACAUACAACACAUGAAAAUUCCCAAAGUGCAAUGCAUCAAAUUCUCAUAUAUGUCAAUCAUAUGUCACAUUCAUAAGUUUUCAUUUCAUAAGUCUAGAUAUGCAUAAUUACAUAGAUAAACAUCAACAUCAUCAUAAACACACCUGACUCAUGUAUAUCCCCCCACAUCGUGCACAUAGCUAGCACCAUCGUGUGCAUCCCCCCACAUCGUGCACAAUCAGUGCCAUCGUGUACAUCCCCUUACAUCGUGCACACGGGCACUAUCAUCAUCCACCUCUCACGCCACCACCAUCACCAGCAUGUGCAUCCCCCCACAUCGUGCAUACACACGGUUACAGUCAUUAUACACAAUAUCAUUCAUCAUGCACAACACACACAUUUAUAUAUCAUCAUACUACAAUAGUGCAUGAAUCCAUAGCAUUCACAUAUCACAAUAUAAAACCAUUUUGCAAAAGCUUGUUCCCAAGGCACUUGUCUUUAUGAAAAACUUGAUAAUUCAUUCAAAUGGGUGGCAAAUACAUUAUAUUUCCCAAAACAAGUUUUGAAGCUAGUCCACUCACCAAUUGAUUGUAGAGCCUUUAGAUGACUCCAAUUCUCCUAAUUGUCCAAAUGAGAUGAUGGGGCUUCCUUAGAACCUAGGAUCACAUUAGCAUAAUCAAUAGGUCAAUUUACACACUAUGAACCCUAAAAGCUAUCUCUUAGCUAGCUUCCAAUUGCCAUCUUAAAUGGCUAUCUAUGUUCACUAUCUUAAUCACUAAAAAGUAAUGAACAUAGUCAACAAUAAACAGCUCAUAAAUCCCAAUUACUAGCCAUUUUCUGCAGCUAAAAAUCGAGUUUAGUUAAUCACUUACCCAAGGGCUCUUUUGUAGUCAAAUUCUCUCCUAAUAGCUUCCAAAUAAAUGGUGUAAUUCUGUCUUUCUCUCUCUAAAACGUCCAGCUAGUGAAAGGAAGUAUGAAAACCAGAUUUUUGAAGGGUUUUAAAGUGAGAGGAUGAAAGAGCAUAAGAGUUUAUGGAAGAGUACACCAAAAGCAUGAAAAUUGGAGCUGGAGAGAGAAAGUUAUGGAAGCUUGAAGAAAACUCCCAUGGACGAAUUGAAGAAAUGUGAGAGAGAAGGGAAGAAGAAGACA